rnacentral:snRNA from 1 species
GUGCUGUGUAUUCAGCUCAGAGCGAUCCAUUCUUUCGCCUCUUACUAAAGAGUAUCGUGUGCGGAAUACAAGCUGCUCACCUCAAUGUUUGGAAAAGGUCCCUGAUGGAGCACC